AGAUUGAACGCUGGCGGCAUGCCUUACACAUGCAAGUCGAACGGCAGCACGGGAGCAAUCCUGGUGGCGAGUGGCGAACGGGUGAGUAAUAUAUCGGAACGUGCCCAGUCGUGGGGGAUAACGUAGAGAAAUUUACGCUAAUACCGCAUACGAUCCAAGGAUGAAAGCGGGGGACCGUAAGGCCUCGCGCGACUGGAGCGGCUGAUAUCAGAUUAGCUUGUUGGUGAGGUAAAAGCUCACCAAGGCGACGAUCUGUAGCUGGUUUGAGAGAACGACCAGCCACACUGGGACUGAGACACGGCCCAGACUCCUACGGGAGGCAGCAGUGGGGAAUUUUGGACAAUGGGCGAAAGCCUGAUCCAGCAAUGCCGCGUGCAGGAAGAAGGCCUUCGGUGUAAACGUGCUUUGUACGGUAGCGAAAAGGUACUGCCCUAAUACGGCGGCCCAAUGACGGUACCGUAAGAAAGUAAGACAACCGGACCUAACUAACCGUAGCCGAGACAGCCGUA
rnacentral:rRNA from 1 species